rnacentral:rRNA from 1 species
AGCGAACGCUGGCGGCAGGCCUAACACAUGCAAGUCGAACGACCCUAUCGUGGUUAGUUGCGGACGGGUGAGUAACACGUGGGAACGUGCCUUUAGGCUCGGGAUUACACAGGGAAACUUGUGCUAAUACCGAGAGUGUCAUUCGGGGGCAAGAUUAAUCGUACUUAGAAAGGCCCGCGUCUGUUUAGCUAGGUGGUUGUGGGAAUGGCUAACCAAGGCGACGUUCAGUAGCUGGUCUGAGAGGAAGAUCAGCGACAUUGGGACUGAGACACGGCGCAAACUCCUACGCGAAGCAGGAGUGGGUAAUCUAGCGAAAUGGGCGAAAGCCUGACGCAGCCAUGCCUGGUGAAUGAUGAAGGUCUUAGGAUUAUAAAAUUCUUUCACCGGGGACGAUAAUGACGGUACCCGGAGAAGAAGCCCCGGCUAACUUCGUG